rnacentral:rRNA from 1 species
AUGGCGUCCGAGAAGCACUUCAAGUACGUCAUCCUCGGCGGUGGCGUCGCGGCGGGAUACGCCGCGAGGGAGUUCGGCAAGCAGGGCGUCCAGCCCGGGGAGCUCGCCAUCAUCUCCAAGGAAUCCGUGGCUCCGUAUGAGCGCCCUGCGCUCAGCAAGGGCUACCUCUUUCCCCAGACGCUUGCUUGUCGCUCAACUCUAAACGUGUGUCUUCCUUCCGUGCAAGCAGAUGCCGCCAGGCUUCCAGGAUUCCACACCUGCGUCGGGAGCGGCGGGGAGAAGCUCUUGCCCGAAUGGUACACGGAAAAAGGCAUUGAGCUGAUCCUGAGCAUGGAAAUUGUCAAGGCUGAUCUUGCCUCCAAGACAUUGACCAGUGCAGAUGGAGCAACCUUCACCUAUGAGACCUUGCUCAUCGCCACUGGCUCCUCGACCAUAAAGCUCACUGACUUUGGCGUUCAAGGAGCAGAAUCAAACAACAUAUUGUAUCUAAGGGAAAUUGAUGACGCCGACAAGUUGGUCGCAGCUAUGCAAGCAAAGAAGGAUGGGAAGGCCGUCGUUGUUGGAGGUGGCUACAUAGGACUUGAGCUCAGCGCAGCACUGAAAAUCAACAAUUUCGAUGUCACUAUGGUGUACCCAGAGCCGUGGUGCAUGCCACGUCUCUUCACUGCCGGCAUUGCUCAUUUCUACGAGGGUUACUACGCUAGCAAAGGAAUCAAUAUCGUGAAGGGUACUGUGGCUAGUGGUUUUGAUGCUGAUGCCAAUGGAGAUGUUAGUGUGGUGAAGCUGAAGGAUGGAAGAGUACUCGAUGCCGACAUCGUCAUCGUUGGAGUCGGUGGCAGGCCGCUGACAGGCCUCUUCAAAGGCCAAGUUGAAGAGGAGAAGGGUGGACUCAAGACCGACACAUUCUUCGAAACAAGCGUUGCUGGUGUAUAUGCCAUCGGUGAUGUGGCGACUUUCCCCAUGAAACUGUACGACGAGCCGAGGAGAGUGGAGCACGUCGACCAUGCUCGGAAAUCAGCCGAGCAGGCAGUAAAGGCGAUCAAGGCCAAGGAGUCCGGCGAGUCUGUGGCGGAGUACGACUACCUGCCCUACUUCUACUCCAGGUCGUUCGACGUCGCGUGGCAGUUCUACGGCGACAACGUUGGCGAGACGGUGCUGUUCGGGGACAACGACCCAGCGGCGGCCAAGCCCAAGUUCGGCACCUACUGGGUCAAGGACGGCAAGGUCAUCGGUGUGUUCCUAGAGGGCGGCUCCGCCGACGAGAAUCAGGCCAUCGCCAAGGUCGCCAGGGCCCAGCCGCCGGUGGACGACGUGGAGGCGCUCGGCAAGGAAGGCCUUGAUUUCGCCACCAAGAUCUGA